rnacentral:rRNA from 1 species
UACGUAGGCAGCGAGCGUUGUUCGGAGUUACUGGGCGUAAAGGGUGCGUAGGCGGCGCGGUAAGUCGGGUGUGAAAUCUCGGAGCUUAACUCCGAAACUGCAUUCGAUACUGCCGUGCUUGAGGACUGGAGAGGAGACUGGAAUUCCUGGUGUAGCGGUGAAAUGCGCAGAUAUCAGGAGGAACACCGGUGGCGAAGGCGGGUCUCUGGGCCGAUACUGACGCUGAGGAGCGAAAGCGUGGGGAGCGAACAGG